rnacentral:rRNA from 1 species
UACAGAGGGUGCGAGCGUUGUCCGGAAUCACUGGGCGUAAAGGGCGCGUAGGCGGCCUGAUAAGUAGGGGGUGAAAUCCUGUGGCUUAACUGCAGGGCUGCCUCCUAGACUGUUAGGCUGAGCACGGUAGAGGCAGAUGGAAUUCCCGGUGUAGCGGUGGAAUGCGUAGAGAUCGGGAAGAACAUCGGUGGCGAAGGCGGUCUGCUGGGCCGUUGCUGGACGCUGAGGCGCGACAGCGGUGGGGAGCAAACAGG